rnacentral:rRNA from 1 species
GACGAACGCUGGCGGCGUGCUUAACACAUGCAAGUCGAACGGAAAGGCCUGCUUUCCCUUGUGGAUUGCGGGUACUCGAGUGGCGAACGGGUGAGUAACACGUGAGUGAUCUGCCCCCAACUUGGGUAUAAGCCUGGGAAACUGGGUCUAAUUCCCGAUAGGACUGCAGGGUGGUGCCUGUGGUGGAAAACGAUUUUCUAGUGGUUGGGGAUGAGCUCGCGGCCUAUCAGCUUGUUGGUGGGGUAAUGGCCUACCAAGGCGGCGACGGGUAGCCGGCCUGGGAGGGUGGACGGCCACAUUGGGACUGAGAUACGGCCCAGACUCCUACGGGAGGCAGCAGUGGGGAAUAUUGCACAAUAGGCGGAAGCCUGAGGCAGCGACGCCGCGUGGGGGAUGACGGCCUUCGGGUUGUAAACUCCUUUCGACCGCGAGGAAGCCACCUGAUUGGAAGGGUGGUGACGGUAGUGGUAGAAGAAGCACCGGCUAACUACGUG